rnacentral:rRNA from 1 species
AACGAACGCUGGCGGCAUGCCUAACACAUGCAAGUCGAACGAGACCUUCGGGUCUAGUGGCGCACGGGUGCGUAACGCGUGGGAACCUGCCCUUAGGUUCGGAAUAACUCCCCGAAAGGGGUGCUAAUACCGGAUAAUGUCUUCGGACCAAAGAUUUAUCGCCUUUGGAUGGGCCCGCGUUGGAUUAGCUAGUUGGUAGGGUAAAAGCCUACCAAGGCGACGAUCCAUAGCUGGGCUGAGAGGAUGAUCAGCCACACUGGGACUGAGACACGGCCCAGACUCCUACGGGAGGCAGCAGUGGGGAAUAUUGGACAAUGGGCGAAAGCAUGAUCCAGCAAUGCCGCGUGAGUGAUGAAGGCCUUAGGGUUGUAAAGCUCUUUUACCCGGGAUGAUAAUGACAGUACCGGGAGAAUAAGCUCCGGCUAACUCCGUG